CGGGAUAACACCUGGAAACAGAUGCUAAUACCGGAUAACAACAGAUGAUGCCUAUCAACUGUUUAAAAGAUGGUUCUGCUAUCACUCUUGGAUGGACCUGCGGUGCAUUAGCUAGUUGGUAGGGUAACGGCCUACCAAGGCGAUGAUGCAUAGCCGAGUUGAGAGACUGAUCGGCCACAUUGGGACUGAGACACGGCCCAAACUCCUACGGGAGGCAGCAGUU
rnacentral:rRNA from 1 species